CUUACCUUCGACUUGUUCUUCUUCUCACCGUUGGGCCACACCUCGCGUCACUAGUGUGUCUUUGCAGCUAGAAGAGUGGAGUCGCUGGAAUCUCUUCGUUCUUUGCUAUCAUCUCUCGCUUCUCUGUUCAAGUUAGGCAUCCGUAUGUGUAUAUCAGAACUCUUCCUUCUUCAAUUUUUUUCUUCAUCAGCGUCGACGACCUGCUGGUUAUGAGCUAUUCCUGCUGCACUUUAGGAUGAGACUUUGUAGGUGACCCUGUACCUCCUACUAGUCAUUGAGGGGCACUAUUGCUUUUGGUUAGUGGAAGCACCUAUUGAUAUUUAGUUUGAUUUAAAUGUGCAUUAUAUUAUACAAUUGUAGUUUAAUGCUCC